rnacentral:sRNA from 1 species
CGCGGACUUUUGGAAGCGGUUGUUGUUCAUGGAGAACUGAUAGGGCUUAGCUGGCGCCGUGGCAAUGCAAUUACACCUUGGUGGUUGGAGGUGGCGUUUUCGAUGCGAAGAUGUUUCUUCUGAAAUAGAGUUUUUUGUUUCUUUUGGUCCUUUUUCUUUUUUUUUUUCUCUUUCCUUUUCUUUAUUUGUUAUUCUUAUGUGUAUUUUGGGGGGGUGUUUCACUGCAACCGGUGCUUCUUGAUAAAAACAAUCAAUUCAGUAAUAAGAGACAGGUACACGCCAUUGCAGCCAAGAUCUCAGAUACGAAGUAUGAUCCUAAGCUUGAUAUCUGGAAACGCGAUAAUGAAGGAGUUACCAAGAACAGACGCGUCCUUUGUAGUUCUGUCUCAUCAAAUUUUCGUUAAGGGACAUCAACGAGCUGAAGCCUUUCUAUGGGAGAGUUGUAGCUAGUAGCAAAGCCGAUCUGACGGGAUAGGUCUCGCUUGGGGAGAAAUUUGCUGUUUUUGAAUAGUUUUCCAUUCAACACACUGUUUGUAGGAUUGUAUACGAGG